rnacentral:rRNA from 1 species
UACGAAGGGGGCUAGCGUUGCUCGGAAUCACUGGGCGUAAAGGGUGCGUAGGCGGGUUACUUUAAGUCAGGGGUGAAAUCCUGGAGCUCAACUCCAGAACUGCCUUUGAUACUGAGGAUCUUGAGUUCGGGAGAGGUGAGUGGAACUGCGAGUGUAGAGGUGAAAUUCGUAGAUAUUCGCAAGAACACCAGUGGCGAAGGCGGCUCACUGGCCCGAUACUGACGCUGAGGCACGAAAGCGUGGGGAGCAAACAGG